rnacentral:rRNA from 1 species
GGGGUGCUCGAGUGGCGAACGGGUGAGUAACACGUGAGUAACCUGCCCUUGACUUUGGGAUAACUUCAGGAAACUGGGGCUAAUACCGGAUAGGAGCUCCUGCUGCAUGGUGGGGGUUGAAAAGUUUCGGCGGUUGGGGAUGGACUCGCGGCUUAUCAGCUUGUUGGUGGGGUAAUGGCCUACCAAGGCGGCGACGGGUAGCCGGCCUGAGAGGGUGACCGGCCACAUUGGGACUGAGAUACGGCCCAG